rnacentral:tRNA from 1 species
CCUUCGAUAGCUCAGCUGGUAGAGCGGAGGACUGUAGAGGAAUAUAGCAAUCCUUAGGUCGCUGGUUCAAUUCCGGCUCGAAGGA